GAGUUUGAUCAUGGCUCAGGACGAACGCUGGCGGCACGCCUAACACAUGCAAGUCGAACGGAGAUAUUUUGGUUUACUGAGAUAUCUUAGUGGCGGACGGGUGAGUAACACGUGAGCAACCUGCCUCUGAGAGAGGGAUAGCUUCUGGAAACGGAUGGUAAUACCUCAUAACAUAACGAAGCCGCAUGACUUUGUUAUCAAAGAUUUAUCACUCAGAGAUGGGCUCGCGUCUGAUUAGAUAGUUGGUGAGGUAACGGCUCACCAAGUCGACGAUCAGUAGCCGGACUGAGAGGUUGAACGGCCACAUUGGGACUGAGACACGGCCCAGACUCCUACGGGAGGCAGCAGUGGGGAAUAUUGCACAAUGGGGGAAACCCUGAUGCAGCGAUGCCGCGUGGAGGAAGAAGGUUUUCGGAUUGUAAACUCCUGUCUUAAAGGACGAUAAUGACGGUACUAGAGAGUACG
rnacentral:rRNA from 1 species